AUACGUAGGGGGCGAGUGUUGUCCGGAUUUACUGGGCGUAAAGGGUGAGUAGGCGGUUAUAUGUGUCAGAUGUAAAAGGCUAUGGCUUAACCAUAGUUAGCAUUUGAAUCUGUAUGACUUGAGGGGAGGAGAGGUAAGAGGAAUUCCUAGUGUAGCGGUGAAAUGCGUAGAGAUUAGGAGGAACACCAGUGGCGAAGGCGACUUACUGGACUGUAACUGACGCUGAGUCACGAAAGCGUGGGUAACAAACAGGAUUAGAUACCCUGGUAGUCCACGCUGUAAACGAUGAGUGCUAGGUGUUGGCCAGCGAUGGUCAGUGCCGCAGUAAACACAUUAAGCACUCCGCCUGGGGAGUACGGUCGCAAGACUGAAACUCAAAUGAAUUGACGGGG
rnacentral:rRNA from 1 species